CCUACGGGAGGCAGCAGUGGGGAAUAUUGCACAAUGGGGGAAACCCUGAUGCAGCGACGCCGCGUGAGUGAAGAAGUAUUUCGGUAUGUAAAGCUCUAUCAGCAGGAACGAGACAAGACGGUACCUGACUAAGAAGCCCCGGCUAACUACGUGCCAGCAGCCGCGGUACUACGUAGGGGGCAAGCGUUAUCCGGAAUCACUGGGUGUAAAGGGAGCGUAGACGGCUGAGCAAGCCUGAAGUGAAAGGCGGGGGCCCAACCCCCGGACUGCUUUGGGAACUGUACGGCUGGAGUGCAGGAGAGGUAAGUGGAAUUCCUAGUGUAGCGGUGAAAUGCGUAGAUAUUAGGAGGAACACCAGUGGCGAAGGCGGCUUACUGGACUGUAACUGACGUUGAGGCUCGAAAGCGUGGGGAGCAAACAGGAUUAGAUACCCUGGUAGUC
rnacentral:rRNA from 1 species